AUCAGAACAAAUCAUGGAUUAGUGAUGGCUCACAACUUGUGAAAAUGAAACCUGUGUCCAUCUCCCAAUAGUGGUGAUCACACUGCAGCCCUUCCAGAAACCAACCUCAAUAUGGACAUGUGGGAGCUGCUAGUCCCAAGCCGGGGACCUGGACCACCCACUCA